GCCCCCGUUGUCUAAUGGUUAUGACGUCAGACUUCUACAUUCCCUGUUUUGGCUGCUCUCUGUCAAUCUUGUAAUCUAGUCCGUAUCUGGAGGUUGCGGGUUCGAGUCCCGCCGGGGGUU